GCCUGGGUGGCUCAGUUGGUUAAGCGUCUGACUUUGGCUCAGGUCAUGAUCUCGCAGUUUGUGGGUUUGAGCCCUGCAUCGGGCU
rnacentral:tRNA from 1 species